AUCCUUCACUUCUUGAGGGAUCAAGGACCAGAUCUUGUCGACGUUGACAAUCGGGCAAUAGAACUUGUUGCGAAGCUUGUGGAAGUAACGCAUACCGACUUUACCGAAAUAACCAGGGUGAUACUUAUCGAAGAGAAUCCGGUGGUGGUGCAUACCUCCGGCGUUUCCCCGACCACCAGGAUGCUUUCGGUGUUUGCCGAUUCUACCAUGGCCGGCGCUAACGUGUCCUCUCUUCUUCCUGUUCUUCUUG
rnacentral:misc_RNA from 1 species